rnacentral:piRNA from 1 species
UGGAAAGGAGAGUCCAUAUGUCAAACAAU